rnacentral:sRNA from 1 species
AACAAAUUUAUGAGUAUAGACUAAUGAUAUUCAAGCAUAUUCCUAAUUUGAAACAACUCUAAAUCUUUAUGUCCUGAUUUAUUGCGAUUAGAAUAUUUUGUUUGCGUGUAGAAAGUUAGGGCUUACAAACAUGCGGUUGACACUAAAAAUAUGGUUGUUCGUUCCGUCUCAUUUCAUCAUCACCUAAAACUCGAUCUUGCAAAUACUAUACACAUAAGAAAUGACAAUAAAUU